rnacentral:rRNA from 1 species
ACGGGUGAGUAAUAUAUCGGAACAUACCCUAGAGUGGGGGAUAACGUAGCGAAAGUUACGCUAAUACCGCAUACGAUCUAAGGAUGAAAGCGGGGGAUCGCAAGACCUCGUGCUCAUGGAGUGGCCGAUAUCUGAUUAGCUAGUUGGUAGGGUAAAAGCCUACCAAGGCGACGAUCAGUAGCUGGUUUGAGAGAACGACCAGCCACACUGGAACUGAGACACGGUCCAGACUCCUACGGGAGGCAGCAGUGGGGAAUUUUGGACAAUGGGGGCAACCCUGAUCCAGCAAUGCCGCGUGAGUGAAGAAGGCCUUCGGGUUGUAAAGCUCUUUUGUCAGGGAAGAAACGGUGAGUUCUAAUACAACUUGCUAAUGACGGUACCUGAAGAAUAAGCACCGGCUAACUACGUGCCAGCAGCCGCGGUAAUACGUAGGGUGCAAGCGUUAAUCGGAAUUACUGGGCGUAAAGCGUGCGCAGGCGGUUUUAUAAGUCUGAUGUGAAAUCCCCGGGCUCAACCUGGGAACUGCAUUGGAGACUGUAAGGCUAGAGUGUGUCAGAGGGGGGUAGAAUUCCACGUGUAGC